rnacentral:rRNA from 1 species
UUAACACAUGCAAGUCGAACGCUGAAGCCUGGUGCUUGCACCGGGUGGAUGAGUGGCGAACGGGUGAGUAACACGUGAGUAACCUGCCCCCGAUUUCGGGAUAAGCCCGGGAAACUGGGUCUAAUACCGGAUAUGACCAGAGGACGCAUGUUCUGUGGUGGAAAGUUUUUCGAUCGGGGAUGGGCUCGCGGCCUAUCAGCUUGUUGGUGGGGUAAUGGCCUACCAAGGCGACGACGGGUAGCCGGCCUGAGAGGGCGACCGGCCACACUGGGACUGAGACACGGCCCAGACUCCUACGGGAGGCAGCAGUGGGGAAUAUUGCACAAUGGGGGAAACCCUGAUGCAGCGACGCAGCGUGCGGGAUGACGGCCUUCGGGUUGUAAACCGCUUUCAGCAGGGAAGAAGCGAGAGUGACGGUACCUGCAGAAGAAGUACCGGCUAACUACGUGCCAGCAGCCGCGGUAAUACGUAGGGUACGAGCGUUGUCCGGAAUUAUUGGGCGUAAAGAGCUCGUAGGUGGUUGGUCACGUCUGCUGUGGAAACGCAACGCUUAACGUUGCGCGGGCAGUGGGUACGGGCUGACUAGAGUGCAGUAGGGGAGUCUGGAAUUCCUGGUGUAGCGGUGAAAUGCGCAGAUAUCAGGAGGAACACCGGUGGCGAAGGCGGGACUCUGGGCUGUAACUGACACUGAGGAGCGAAAGCAUGGGGAGCGAACAGGAUUAGAUACCCUGGUAGUCCAUGCCGUAAACGUUGGGCACUAGGUG